rfam:Oryza sativa Japonica Group DNA, chromosome 4, cultivar: Nipponbare, complete sequence.
AAUAGAUGACGUCGUUGACUUUUUCUCACAUGUUUGACCAUUCGUCUUAUUCAAAAAAAAUUACGUAAUUAUAAUUUAUUUUGUUAUGAGUUCUUUUAUCACUCAUAGUACUUUAAGUGUGAUUUAUAUCUUAUACAUUUGUAUAAAAUUUUUGAAUAAGACGAAUGGUCAAACAUGUGAGAAAAAGUUAACGGCGUCGUCUAUU